rnacentral:rRNA from 1 species
CCUACGGGAGGCAGCAGUGGGGAAUAUUGGACAAUGGGCGCAAGCCUGAUCCAGCAAUGCCGCGUGAGUGAUGAAGGCCUUAGGGUCGUAAAGCUCUUUUACCAGGGAUGAUAAUGACAGUACCUGGAGAAUAAGCUCCGGCUAACUCCGUGCCAGCAGCCGCGGUAAUACGGAGGGAGCUAGCGUUGUUCGGAAUUACUGGGCGUAAAGCGUACGUAGGCGGUUAUUCAAGUCAGAGGUGAAAGCCCGGGGCUCAACCCCGGAACGGCCUUUGAAACUAGGUAGCUAGAAUCUUGGAGAGGUCAGUGGAAUUCCGAGUGUAGAGGUGAAAUUCGUAGAUAUUCGGAAGAACACCAGUGGCGAAGGCGACUGACUGGACAAGUAUUGACGCUGAGGUACGAAAGCGUGGGGAGCAAACAGGAUUAGAUACCCUGGUAGUCCACGCCGUAAACGAUGAUAACUAGCUGUUCGGGCACUUGGUGCUUGAGUGGCGCAGCUAACGCAUUAAGUUAUCCGCCUGGGGAGUACGGUCGCAAGAUUAAAACUCAAAUGAUAAGUAG